AAACAAGUGUUGAUGAGACGAGUACACGAUUGAAAAAGUUCAGAGAGCCGGGGAAAGGUGUGAGCCCGGUCUUCAGGAGAUCAGUGGAAAAACAGCUCGGAGCUGCCGGAAGAAAUCUUAGUAGACCCGGCCGGGACUUCCCGUUACAGAAGUCGGAUAUCGGCGUUUACCAUGCCCGUAUCUUAAAAGUGAGCUGAAGCAAUUUAGCUAAACUGGGUGGUACCGCGGAAGACCUUUCCUUUCGUCCCAAUU
rnacentral:ncRNA from 1 species